GACGAACGCUGGCGGCGUGCUUAACACGUGCAAGUCGAACGGAAAGGCCCUGCUUUUGUGGGGUGCUCGAGUGGCGAACGGGUGAGUAACACGUGAGUAACCUGCCCUUGACUUUGGGAUAACUUCAGGAAACUGGGGCUAAUACCGGAUAGGAGCUCCUGCUGCAUGGUGGGGGUUGGAAAGUUUCGGCGGUUGGGGAUGGACUCGCGGCUUAUCAGCUUGUUGGUGGGGUAGUGGCUUACCAAGGCUUUGACGGGUAGCCGGCCUGAGAGGGUGACCGGCCAAAUUGGGACUGAGAUACGGCCCAGACUCCUACGGGAGGCAGCAGUGGGGAAUAUUGCACAAUGGGCGGAAGCCUGAUGCAGCAACGCCGCGUGCGGGAUGACGGCCUUCGGGUUGUAAACCGCUUUCGCCUAUGACGAAGCGUGAGUGACGGUAAUGGGUAAAGAAGCACCGGCUAACUACGUG
rnacentral:rRNA from 1 species